UACAGAGGUGGCUAGCGUUGUUCGGAAUUACUGGGCGUAAAGGGCUCGUAGGCGGCCAACUAAGUCAGACGUGAAAUCCCUCGGCUUAACCGGGGAACUGCGUCUGAUACUGGAUGGCUUGAGAUUGGGAGAGGGAUGCGGAAUUCCAGGUGUAGCGGUGAAAUGCGUAGAUAUCUGGAGGAACACCGGUGGCGAAGGCAGGUUACUGGGCAUUAUCUGACGCUGAGGCGCGAAAGCGUGGGUAGCAAACAGG
rnacentral:rRNA from 1 species